GCACUAUAAAUUACCCCUUGAGAGGUGUGUUUUGUUAUAGUAGCCUAAAUGGACUUAGAAACUAAUUUAAGACACACAUCCUCCACAAUUUAAAAACACAUUGAAAUUUUAUUUAGCAUACUUAAUAUUGCACAGAAAUUACAAUACUGGCACAACAUAAACAUUACUCAAAGAUACUGAUUUCCUUGGGUUGACAGUUAAAACAUUUUCUAAAUAAGUUCUUAUAAAUAUAUCUAAUAUCAAAAUGUCUUCAGUUAACAUACUUCAUUAUAUCCUCACUGGCAAAACAUAUUGGUGAGUAACAAACACAUACUUGUUGUGUAGAACUGGAUUUUUGAUGUUAAAAUGUAAAGUUUUCAAUAGCAUCUGAAGAGUGACAUUUUGGAUUUGGCUGGAAUGCAGUGAUGGGCAGUUCUGAAGUGACGUGAUCCAGUUUCUGGGUUAAAAAUAUGCUGUUUAAAAAACAUUUAAAUGAUUUUAAAUUGAUAAGGCAAUAAUCAUAUUUUAUUACCCCAAAAUAGUUGGUUUAAAUAAAGUGUGUGGCACUAUUUUAUUAUCAUACACAAGGUCACAUAGUGGGAAGGGAGCACUGGAUUCUUGUCCAGAUUCUGUAACUAAAUAUCCAAGCCAUCCAGACAAACCAUACUCUCUCUGGGGCUCAUUUGUCAUUAUUGUUUAAAACUAAAGUAGGUUUUAGAGAAAAGGGACAAGGUUUGGCUAAAUGAUCUAAAAAAAAUCCAUUCUAGCAAAAUUCAGUUGUGUUGAAUAAAGGCCAUGUAAAUUCAAAAUACAGAUCUGUGCAAAGUGAACCAUACUGAUAUUUUACUUUUGAACCCAGAAUUUUAAUAUUAACCCCUAUCCAAAUAUCUACAAAUGAAUAUACCCUCUCUGAACCCAUCUGUAGCUAUAACAUUAGGAAUUCAUAUUGGAGCACUUUAGUUUAAGGAAGCCCAGCCCAGCCUCUGCCUGCACUUUGUAAUUUGGUAAUUUAACUUAUAAUGCACUUCUACCUUUGAAAGCAAAAUUCUUUUUCUAAUAUUUUUAUGCAUUUAAAGAAUUAUUUCUAAUAGGAGACCUUUUAAGUACUGGUGGCACACUAAGCAGGAAAUGACAGACUCCCCCCACCCAUGAAAUACAACCCCAACUGCCAGAAAUACAAGUUAUUUCAGAUGCCUUCAAAAAGUUCACUUAAAAUAGACUGCCAGAGGAAUUGCACUAGAAAACAGAAAAAUCAAUUCUAGAUGAAAGCAAACACACAGAAGCUUCCAAAUUGGCAAGAGAGAUCAGUUAUAUCAAUCAUUUAGUUAUUUAAGAGCAGGAAGCAGGAGAUGGACAGACUCUCCUAAUGUCUCAACAUUGGGGUACUUUUAGUCAUAAUUUCUGUGCUGGGUGUUUCUUAUAAAAAUAACUUCACCAGGAGGAGUCCUCCCAAGAAGCUCCAGCUCUAUGGAGCUUUGCUAUCUUCCUGCUCAUUUUCAUGGCAUUGGGGAUGUAGCAGCCAGUAAUUAGAUCAGACAUGGAAAAACAGGGAGAGAAAACUAUAAAGAAUUAUUUCUUUUAAAGGAAGUGGCCAAAGAAAAUCCAAGUCAGCUACAAUUUCCUUGUCCAUGUUGCAAAGGGAUGGGUUGAGCAGGGUCCAAGAAUGGAAAGAAAGAACUCAGCUGGGGCGGUGGCGAAGCGGUGGGAGCAAAUUCCCAAAUGGGGAAUAUGAAAAGAGGCAUCCUCAGAGACAUGACCUGCCUUGGGAAGGGCACAGAGUAGGCCCAGUAUAUCGCAUGCAUGGGUGAGCCCAGGUGAGUAGAGCGUUACUCAGCGCCCCUGGCUGGAAGCCUGGAUUUGUCCAGGAGACCUUUUUCGGAAGUCUCCUUUGUGCAUAGCAGCCCUGCUGGGUGUCAGCGCGCAAAGUCACCGUUUAAUUCCCGCUAGCUCCAGACACAUUAGGGCCUCUUUAAAGCAGAAAGCUGAUCCAGGGGCUUCCUUCCCGGGCACAGCGGCAGGCACCAGAAGGUCGACAGUCGUCCUGCCCAGCAGGGCGCCUCUUCCUGGACACCACCAAGUUGAGGCUCUCUGGAGACUUGCACCUCACAGGAGCGUUCGCUCCCUAACAAUAACCAAGAAAUUGAAGAGUGAUUUUAUGUCAUCAGUGGAAAUAUUGUUGAUGUUUACUAAAUUGAUCAGUGAGAAGAAAACACAAAGUUGAAUAUGGACCAUACAGGAAAGAAACAUGAUUUAAAAACUCCAGCAUGGUCAUAUGGAACAACCCUGGCCAGUGAUAUCUGGGAAUACGCCUGCUGGAGGGAUCUAGACAAAGUUGCCCUUGAUGUUACAAAAAGGACUAAUAAUAAAGUCUGGUCUUUGGCUUUUUGGAUGCUGUCUUAUGAGAAAUGAUGUGUGGAACUGUUGGCAUUAAAAAACUUAACUGAGAUUUCUGACAUUUAGAGAGCCAUGAAAUUUACCCUAGAAUAGUCCCAUCUCUGAACUUCCUAUAAGUUAAUGACUUUCCUCAUCAAUUGAGAGAGGUGUGAUUUAAAAAAUCCAGACUCUAAGCAAUAUAAGAAUUAUAUCAAAUCCUCUGUGUUUAAUGGCUCUCUAACAGUAAUUUUUUCAAAAUGACAAUAUGAUAUUAAGAGAAUAUUUACUGCUUUCUAGAUUUUUUUCUGCAUUUUUCUUUAUAUAUAUGUUAAUUACAUAACUAGUCAAGGAUGGCACCUUAAACUUCAUAAAAGUGACAUAUUUAAGGUUUUCUGCCAUUUAUUCUGACUUUAUCACAUGCCUUUUUAUUCCCAUUGUUAUAUCCCUCUUCAUUCAUGUACUCCCUUUAAACUUGAACUAGAGUUUUAGAUAUUAUUGAUUAUACUCUUCCAAUUUCUUU